GCAAGCUUUUAAAGGUGAUCAACAAAACCAUAAUUACAGCCAUGCUCAUCUAAAGUAUCAUAUAAUCAGCCGUAAUCUUAAGGAAGGACAAUAUGUGGAGAAUGCAAAAAACAGUCUUCCAAUGGUCAACAAAUGUAGAAGUAAUUUGUCUCAAUGUUGAGUGGAGAAGACUACCACCUAGCGUUUUUGUGCCUUCCUUCGUCUAGACUGCACCUUCUGCCAUUUCUUUCUUGGAACUAGUUUGCUCUUUGGUUUUAACUUCAACUCUGGUGAGAACUUGUAAUUUGGAUCUCUCAUACGCGCUUGUAUAUCCUUGAAAAACUGCAUAUUCAAUUUUUUAGGUCCUCCUUGUCUAAGCUCCUCAUACUCAGGCCCAGAGACAAUAUUUUCAAAUGCUCCAAUUAGAAUGUCUACAUCACUCAUGACUUCCCACACAUUGAUGUAACGCCCAUCUGGCCCUUUCUUCAAUUUUUUUAAGGCAUUCUCAACUGCAAGUUUCCUAGCUUGCUUCCCAGGGGACAACUCUUCAGGUUCAUUUUCUGCUUUCAAUAGUUCAGAGAUUGUGCGAUAUUUAGGUUUUUCCUCAAAUUCAAACAAUUUAUCUAUAUACUUGUCACUAGUUUCAUUUGGGUAUGCUUCUGUAGGAAUAUCAUCAUCAUCAUCGCCUUCGCUACCAGUCCAUAGAGUCUUCUCCUCAUCACUCCCAGACCAUACACUCCAUAACUCAUCACUAUCAUCAGCAUCAAUAAGAUGUGAGUGCUCCUUUGCCUGCUGCCUUACUUUCCGAAUCUCUUUUUCAAGACGAUUUUGACCCUUUUGGGAAUUAUUUUCAUCCUCACUUUUAUCUUCACUUCCUGUCCAUAAGCAAUCAUCUUCUUCCAUCUCUUUCUUCCAUGCUUUCUUGAAUUCCUCAUCACCAGGCUUAGCACUGCCAAAUAGGUCAUAAUGCUUGCCUCCAGGUCGAGCAUAUGAUCGAGAUGCUGCAAAAUAGCAAAUAUAGGAUAUGCAUCAUUUUCAAAAAUGAGCAACAGCACGCAGUCUUCUUGGAUUCUAAAUUACUAUAAAUCCUUCUACAUACAAGUUAUUUUAUAAUUUCUUUGAUCUGUCUUGGCUAAGGUUGGCAGUAGUAGUGCUGCGACGCUGCUCCAAAUGAGUUCAAGGUGCUAGCAGAUUCGAAAAACUAUCGACCUGAAAUACCUUCGCAGUUCCAAGAUAACAUUUUUAAAAAACGCUAAUGAAGCGAAUACUACAAGAAAAUGGACUUAAAACUGCUCUGUUUAAGCAAUUUCAACCAGAAAUUAAUAAUUCCAUGAUCAGUAUGGUCCCUUUCUAUCUUGACAACCAAACGAAGAAGUUGGGGGCGAUGGAUAUCCACAGGAUUUCAAUAGCACACGGAACCCAAAUUCACAGAGCGCCAAAUGAAGAUUCAGACCCGAAAUCAAUCUUCUAGCACAAUAGAUAAAUAAGAAGAACCGGGUUCGUUUCAGGUAAUAAAUAAAUGCCUGCUAUGAGGACUUUUCACAAGCACAUGGAUUACGCUACCAAUAUUUCCAUUGACAAAACUAGUACUAGGAAUUGUAAAUGAUCUUUCACACAUAAUGAACUUCGUAAAGCUCAUCUAAGAAACAAUAAACAGGGUAAAAAAGAAGAAACAUGAGCAUAUCCAUUCAAAACACACAUAUAUACAUAUAAAAAAUAAAAUAAAAAUAAUGAAACAGACCUUGAAAAUUUGGACAAAGCCCAUCAUAAAUGUGAUUUCUUGAAUAAUUUAUAACAGAGUGAGAAAGACCUUGUAAUCUGGGAGAGGUAGAAAUGGGGUUACUCAUAAUUUUCCAUUAAAUAGCAGCUAAUUCAAAAGUAUAAUCGAAGUAGAAGAAAGUUACAAAUAUUUUUAUAAGCAAAGAAGCGUGUGACCUUAGAGAAGGUGGAUGUAGAGAACGGAGCCUUGAGAUUCUGAAGACGGAAUGAAGGAAUGAAAGGAGGGAACAGCGUCGAGCGGCCAUCUAUCUUAGCCUUCUGCCAACCGAGUUGGGUCUCCACUCACUGAUUCAC
rnacentral:misc_RNA from 1 species